GUGUCAGCCGCCGCGGUAAUACGUAGGGUGCAAGCGUUAUCCGGAUUUACUGGGUUUAAAGGGUGUGUAGGCGGGCUUUUAAGUCUGGGGUGAAAUCUCCGAGCUCAACUCGGAAACUGCCUUGGAUACUAUUAGUCUUGAAUUAUGUUGAGGUUGGCGGAAUAUAACAUGUAGCGGUGAAAUGCAUAGAUAUGUUAUAGAACACCGAUUGCGAAGGCAGCUAACUAAGCAUAUAUUGACGCUGAGGCACGAAAGCGUGGGGAUCAAACAGGAUUAGAUACCCUAGUAGUCC
rnacentral:rRNA from 1 species